rnacentral:rRNA from 1 species
AACGAACGCUGGCGGCAGGCCUGACACAUGCAAGUCGAGCGCUCACUUCGGUGGGAGCGGCGGACGGGUUAGUAACGCGUGGGAACAUACCCUUCUCUACGGAAUAGCCUCGGGAAACUGAGAGUAAUACCGUAUACGCCCUUCGGGGGAAAGAUUUAUCGGAGAAGGAUUAGCCCGCGUUGGAUUAGGUAGUUGGUGGGGUAAUGGCCCACCAAGCCGACGAUCCAUAGCUGGUUUGAGAGGAAGAUCAGCAGCACUGGGACUGAGACACGGCCCAG